rnacentral:rRNA from 1 species
UGGGGAAUUUUGGACAAUGGGCGAAAGCCUGAUCCAGCAAUGCCGCGUGUGUGAAGAAGGCCUUCGGGUUGUAAAGCACUUUUGUCCGGAAAGAAAUCCUUGGCUCUAAUACAGUCGGGGGAUGACGGUACCGGAAGAAUAAGCACCGGCUAACUACGUGCCAGCAGCCGCGGUAAUACGUAGGGUGCAAGCGUUAAUCGGAAUUACUGGGCGUAAAGCGUGCGCAGGCGGUUUGCUAAGACCGAUGUGAAAUCCCCGGGCUCAACCUGGGAACUGCAUUGGUGACUGGCAGGCUAGAGUAUGGCAGAGGGGGGUAGAAUUCCACGUGUAGCAGUGAAAUGCGUAGAGAUGUGGAGGAAUACCGAUGGCGAAGGCAGCCCCCUGGGCCAAUACUGACGCUCAUGCACGAAAGCGUGGGGAGCAAACAGGAUUAGAUACCCUGGUAGUCCACGCCCUAAACGAUGUCAACUAGUUGUUGGGGGAUUCAUUUCCUUAGUAACGUAGCUAACGCGUGAAGUUGACCGCCUGGGGAGUAC